GUGGGGAAUAUUGGACAAUGGCCGGAAGGCUGAUCCAGCCAUGCCGCGUGAAGGAUAAGGUCCUAUGGAUUGUAAACUUCUUUUGAGUGGGAGCAAUAAGGAUGUCGAGACAUCCGAUGAGAGUACCAUUUGAAUAAGCAUCGGCUAACUCCGUGCCAGCAGCCGCGGUAAUACGGAGGAUGCGAGCGUUAUCCGGAUUUAUUGGGUUUAAAGGGUGCGUAGGCGGUUUGUCAAGUCAGCGGUGAAACGCAAGGGCUUAACCCUUGACCUGCCGUUGAAACUGAUUGACUAGAAUGCGGAUGCUGUGGGAGGAAUGUGUGGUGUAGCGGUGAAAUGCAUAGAUAUCACACAGAACACCGAUUGCGAAGGCAUCUCACAAAUCCGUGAUUGACGCUGAGGCACGAAAGUGUGGGGAUCAAACAGG
rnacentral:rRNA from 1 species